rnacentral:rRNA from 1 species
UACAGAGGGUGCAAGCGUUAAUCGGAAUUACUGGGCGUAAAGCGUGCGUAGUCGGUUAUUUAAGUCGGAUGUGAAAGCCCCGGGCUCAACCUGGGAAUUGCAUUCGAGACUGAAUAGCUAGGGUACGGUAGAGGGAAGUGGAAUUUCCGGUGUAGCGGUGAAAUGCGUAGAUAUCGGAAGGAACAUCAGUGGCGAAAGCGACUUCCUGGACCAGUACCGACGUUCAGGCACGAAAGCGUGGGGAGCAAACAGG